AGUAAUGAACCAAUCUGAACUAAAUUCUUUGUUGCAGUGAUGCUGAUGUCACAAACCAAGAGUCCCUUCAAAACUGGAAACUCUCCUGGGUUGAAAAUACCAUACCUUUUCAUAUAUUGGAAGUUCAUCCAUCAUUGGAAAGAAAUGUAGAGAAGCUUACUAAAGGAAG